UACGGAGGGUGCAAACGUUGCUCGGAAUCAUUGGGCGUAAAGCGCACGUAGGCGGUUUGUUAAGUCGGAUGUGAAAGCCCUCGGCUUAACCGAGGAAGUGCAUACGAAACUGGCGAACUUGAGUACGGGAGAGGGUCGCGGAAUUCCCGGUGUAGAGGUGAAAUUCGUAGAUAUCGGGAGGAACACCAGUGGCGAAGGCGGCGGCCUGGACCGAUACUGACGCUGAGGUGCGAAAGCGUGGGGAGCAAACAGG
rnacentral:rRNA from 1 species